AAACUAAAUCAAUAAAGUGUCGAUGUAGAUAAU
rnacentral:guide_RNA from 1 species